AUGAAGCUGAAUAUCACCUUCCCAGCCACUGGCUGCCAGAAACUCUUUGAAGUGGAUGAUGAACAUGAACUUCAUACUUUUUUUGAGAAGUAUAUGGCCAAGGAAGUUGCUGCUGACACUCUGGGUGAAGAAUGGAAGGGUUACGGAGUACAAAUCAGUGGUGGAAACAAGAAGCAAGGUUUCCCCAUGAAGCAGGGUGUCUUGACCCAUGGCCGGGUCUGCCUGCUGCGGGGGAAGGGGCGUUCCUGUUAUAGGUUAUAGAUGAAGGAGAACUGGAAAAGGAAGCACAAGUCUGUUUGGGCUUGCCUUGCGAAGGCCAAUUUGAGGGUUCUUAACUUGGUUAUUAUGAAAAAAGGAGAGAAGAUAUCCUUAGACUGACACUAUGGUACCUUGGCGUCUGGGGCCCAAAAGAGCUGGCAGAAUCUGCAAACUUUUCAAUCUGUCUCUAAAGAAGAUGAUGUUUGCCAAUACGUUGUAAGAAUGGCCUUAAACAAAGAAGGUGAGAAACCGAGGACCAAACCACCCACGAUUCAGCAUCUUGUAUCUCCCCGUGUCUUACAAAAUAAAUGCAGGUUUAUUACUCUGAAGAAACAGCGUACCAAGAAAAAUAAAGAAGAGGCUGCCGAAUAUGCUGAACUUUUGGCCAAGAGAAUGAAGGAGGCCAAAGAAAAGCGCCAGGAACAGAUUACCAAGAGGUGCAGGCUCUCCUCUCGGACAGCUUCCACUUCUAAGUCUGAAUCCAGUCAAAAAUAAGAUUUUUUGAGUAACAAAUACAU